AAAUGCGAUAAUUAAUGUGAAUUGCAGAAUUCAGUGAAUCAUCGAGUCUUUGAACGCACAUUGCGCCCCCUGGUAUUCCGGGGGGCAUGCCUGUCCGAGCGUCAUUGCUGCCCUCAAGCACGGCUUGUGUGUUGGGCUUCCGUCCCUGGCAACGGGGACGGGCCCAAAAGGCAGUGGCGGCUUCGCGGUUAUCCGAUCAGCCAGAGCGUAUGGGGACUUUCUCUCUGUCACACGCCCGCGGCGCGGACCGACGCCUGUCGACCUUUAUUCAUCUUUUUCUCGGUUGACCUCGGAUCAGGUAGGGAUACCCGCUGAACUUAAGC
rnacentral:misc_RNA from 1 species